UACGGAGGGUGCAAGCGUUGUCCGGAAUCACUGGGCGUAAAGGGCGCGUAGGCGGCUCAUGAAGGCUGUGGUGAAAGUCCGGGGCUCAACCUCGGAUCGGCCGUGGCGACUCGUGGGCUGGAGCACUGUAGAGGCGGGUGGAAUUCCGGGUGUAGCGGUGGAAUGCGUAGAGAUCCGGAAGAACACCAGUGGCGAAGGCGGCCCGCUGGGCAGUGGCGUGACGCUGAGGCGCGACAGCGUGGGGAGCAAACGAGGAU
rnacentral:rRNA from 1 species